UGCUCUAGGGUUUCACACGGGGUAGGUGAAGUUAACAACCAUUUGAAGAAGGAAAUGGUGAUUAUUUUGACUUUGAAGAGGAUGACUUAGAUGAUGUUCUAGAUCAGGAUGAUAGUAAAAUUGAUGAAGAACUGUGAGCUUUUAGAGAAAAACUUAGGGAAGACAAAAAGAAUGAAGUUGCAAAGAAAAAAAAGAGAAGUAAAAAAUCCUCAAAGGAUCAACAUGUUGAGCUUGGAGAAGUUGACAUAGAUAAGGGAUUUGAAAAUAUCUUCAACAAAAAGGCGACCAAAUAUAAUGGAAAAUUGGGAGGUGAUGAAGUGUUUAUUGAUUCAUCAAAUGAACCAAGUGAAGAUAGUGAUGAGGAGCUAGAUGUUUUAGCACAACCAGGUGUUGAUUUACCUUCAAGAAGAAAAAACAACAAACUAAGGUAUGAUUCUUCUUCUUCCAUUUCUUUCUUUGAGUUGAGUAUGAUAUUUGAGAGUGCAACUCAAUUUAAAAAGGUUGUUGCUGAUUAUGUUGUUCAACAUAAGGUUUAGUUAAGGCUUAAACCCAAUAAAUCACAUAGAGUUAGGGUAAAAUGUGAAGGGAAGUGUAAAUGGGAAAUCUUUGCAAGCUUGGAUAAGGAUUGUGGAAAUUUUUUUGUAAAGAAAUACUAUCCUGCUCAUAGAUGUAUUUCAAAGAAUGAGAACAGGUUGUGCACAGCCAAAUAUGUGAAAAUGAAGAUGAGGAAUAGAAUAAUAUCUCAGCCUGACAUGAGAGUUCAUAAGCUUCAAGAGACACAAAGAAAAUAAUGGGGAUUAAAAGUGGGAAGAUCAAUAUGUUACAGGGCAAUAAUGAAUGUUAUGGCCAAGUUCUUGGGUGAUUAGAAACUUGAGUUUUCAAGGUUUUUAGACUAUGCUGAUAUGAUUAAGAGUACAAAUUCUGGUAGUUCUUGUUAGGUUAGAAAUGAUAAUGAAACAGUCCCUGGCUUACACUUGUUCAAAGAUUUUUAUGUCUGUUUUGCUGCAUUGAAAAGUGGAUGGCUAGAAGGUUGUAGAAAGAUUAUAGGAUUGGAUGGUUGCUUUUUGAAGGGUGCUUGUAGAGGAGAAUUAUUAGUGGUUGUUGGAAAAAAUAGAAACACCAAAUGUAUCCAAUAGCUUGGGCAGUGUGUUGAUCAAGAAACUAAACACUCUUGGAGUUGGUUCUUAAGCUAUCUCAUUGAAGACUUGCAACUUGGUGAUGGAAGUGACAUAACAAUCAUGUCUGACAUGCAAACGGUAUUUAUUCAACUUUUAUUUUUUUUUACUUUCUGCCUUGUGUUAAUGUAAGUUUUCACUGUUAGUUAUUGUCACUGUCUGUCGUUAGUGUGUGAAUCAAGUGAAAUCAGCUAUUGUUUUUGUUUAUUUGUCUCAGUUACUGCCAAUGCAUAUGGAUGUUAUUAGUGUGUGAAGUAAGUGAUAUUGUUAGUGUGUGUGAUAAAUAAAGUGUCUUGAUUUUAUAUUUCUUAGGGUCUUGAGGUGGCAGUGGAAGUCUUACUUCCUAAUGCUGAAAGAAGAAUGUGUGCAAGACAUAUUUGGGCAAACUGGCAAAAAAGAUGGAGAGGUGAGGAAAGGAGAAGCAUUUUCGAGGUACUCCAAAGCUAGUUUUGAGGUUAAAUUAACAGAUGAAUUUGAAUAUAUGGGAAAAUUGAGUCAUAAAAUAUGUGAGGCAUUGCUUGGAUAUAACAAAGAAUAUUUGUGUAGAGCUUUAUUUAGUGAAAGAUCAAAGUGUGAUGUGGUGGAAAAUAAUGUGUAAAACAUUUAACUCAUCGAUUUUUGGUCCUAGACACAAAUCUGUGGUUAGUAUGCUUUAAGAUAUUAGGCAUAAAAUGAUGGAUAUGCAUGGAGAUAUGAUUAUGUUUGCAGAUACAUGGAUCAGUGACAUUUCACUUAUGGCAAGACUGAUUUUAAAAGAAAACAAAAAGAUUGGCAGGGCAAUAAGGGUGAAUUGGAAUCAUGACAUUGGAUUUGAAAUUCAAGAAGGAGAGUAUAGACACAUAAUUGACAUGACUAGAAAGACAUGUAGUUGUAGGUUGUGGCAGUUAAGGGCAUACCUUGCCAACAUGCAGUUUGUGCCUUAUAACAUAUUGGGCAAGAACCAGAAGAUUAUGUGGAACAUUGGUACAAAAAAGAUACAUUCCUAAAUGCCUAUAAUUACUUUUUACAAACCAUCUCCAUUAUGGUAAUGUGGUUUGACACCAAUAACCCACCUGUUGAGCAUCCUGAAGUGAAGCCAAUGCUUGAAAAACCAGGUAGAUGUAGAAGAAAAGAUAAAGAUGAACUAAGAAAAAAGAAAUAUGGGAAAGCAUCAAAGAAUGGAGUGAAGAUGUCAUGUUCCAAAUGCCAUCAAGUUGGGCAUAACAAAAGAACUUGUAAAUCAAUGCCCUCUGAAUAGCCCACACAACAGCCUGCAAGGCCCUUUCAACAACCACCAGUGAGGCAGCCUUCACAACCACCAAUACUUUAAAGGUUAAAGGAAGGGAAAAAAAAGCAGUUAACUGCAAGGGCAACAUCUUCUUCAACUGCAUGGACAUCAUCUUCUUGAGUUGGAAUGCCACCAUCUUUUUUAGCUGGAAGGCCACCAACUUCUUUAGUUAAAAUGCAACCAGCUGCUUCAGUUGGAAGAAAAAAAAUAAGAGAUGUGAAAUUUAGUGUUUACACAGACAUACAAUCUGAAAGACAAGUGAUUAACGUAUGUAUAUUGCUUUCUUUAAUUGAUUUUCUUACAUCUUUAUUUAGGUAUACUAAAUAUGGCCCUAUGGAUUAUGCAACCAUGAAGAUCAAGUAAAAGAGUUAUCUCAAGUGGAACACGGGUAGCAUUUAAAGAUGCAUCACAAACAAAUGUUGAUUUUGAAUUCAAGCCACCUAGUUUAAAAUGGAAAGGAAAAAUGCAAUGACUCGAAAUCAACUUCAACAAUUGUCAAAGAAAAAGGUGCAAAGCAAAUCCAAGGGGAAGUGGGUUUCAUAAGAGCUCAAAGUCUUACUGAUGUGUAUAAAUGUUGAUCUAGGAGGUCUUUGUUUUUGUUUAUUUUGAUAACUUUUUGUAAAGGCAUACUCCAAUUACUGAUCAUUUUGAUGAAUUUUGGGUUAUUUUAAUGUAUGUUUGCAUAGACAAAUAUUUGGAGUUUGUUAAGUUGUGUUUAAUGGAUAUUAAUUGUGUUUUGUGAAGCCUUUUGGUGUUUGUUAUGAUUGAUAUUAAGGCUGCCUUGAUGUUAGGUGUUUACUAUGUAAGAAAGCGUGUGAAUCAUGCUAGUAUGAAAGUGUGUGAAUAAUGUUAUUCGAUUGUAAAAGUGAUGAAUAUUGA